CUCUUACUCUCAGCAGACAUUGGGACAUUAAUUCCUCCAGAGGUGUUAACCAAUAAGACAGCACUGAUAAGGAACUGAUAAAGGCUUAAGGACUCAGCCUGACUUGUUUUGCCAGCCCUUCUACCACAUCUGUAAAGCAGCUUCUAAAACUUGGAAACUCUUUGGAGGCCUGCCGGAAACCUUUCAGCUGGGAAUGUGGUCAUAAUGCCUGAGGGUGCCAUUUUGGUAUCAUGAAGAUGAAGACAGCAUACUCAAGGAAUAACUGAGCAGAAAGGUAAAAAGAAUCUGUUUCAAAUGACAUCACGGAGCUACCAAACCUACCCUGGACUGUCCCUCUAGGUGUUUGUAAUAUAAAAAAUAAACUAAAAUAAAACCUCC